AUACGGGAGGCAGCAGUCGAGAAUUUUUCACAAUGGGCGCAAGCCUGAUGGAGCGACGCCGCGUGGGGGAUGAAUGGCUUCGGCCCGUAAACCCCUGUCAUUUGCGAUCAAACCUGGCUAUUUAAAAGAUGGUCAGCUGAUAGUAGCGAAAGAGGAAGGGACGGCUAACUCUGUGCCAGCAGCCGCGGUAAUACAGAGGUCCCGAGCGUUGUUCGGAUUCACUGGGCGUAAAGGGUGCGUAGGUGGUCGGGUAAGUCGGAUGUGAAAUCUCGGAGCUCAACUCCGAAACGGCAUUGGAAACUACUCGGCUAGAGGGUUGGAGGGGGGACUGGAAUGCUUGGUGUAGCAGUGAAAUGCGUAGAUAUCAAGCGGAACACCGGUGGCGAAGGCGAGUCCCUGGACAACACCUGACACUGAGGCACGAAAGCUAGGGGAGCAAACAGGAUUAGAUACCCCGGUAGC
rnacentral:rRNA from 1 species